rnacentral:piRNA from 1 species
UCUGGUGGACUUGGGGAAGAGGCUG